rnacentral:rRNA from 1 species
UACGGAGGGUGCGAGCGUUGUCCGGAAUCACUGGGCGUAAAGGGCGCGUAGGUGGCGCGGCAAGUCAACGGUGAAAGCUCGACGCUCAACGUCGAGUCGGCCGUCGAUACUGCUGGGCUUGAGCACUGUAGAGGCAGAUGGAAUUCCGGGUGUAGCGGCGGAAUGCGUAGAGAUCCGGAAGAACACCGGUGGCGAAGGCGGUCUGCUGGGCAGUAGCUGACACUGAGGCGCGACAGCGUGGGGAGCAAACAGG